GAAACAGGUCUUCUGAGCACUCCGACUUAUGGCAAAAAGGAUCUUCGGUACCUGUUCUAACAUUGACCUGAGAACACAAGAGGUUUUGAAAAUCAGCAUAACACUAGUUAGUUCAUAAGUGGUUUUUGUUUUGUGAAAAUGUUCAUGUUUCCUUUCUGUUUCUGAAAAUGUAACACACGCCAAGAAAAUCUCACAUUUUCUUAAAAAGGUUGGUUGUUGUUUCACAUUAUGUAAAGUAAAGUUGUACACUGAAAACAUGUUUACCAUUUUGAAAAUGUACAUUUAGGUUAUCUAAUUUGUUAUACUGUUCUGGUUAUGUACGAAUGGAUCCCCAGGAAAGUCCCAUACCUUCCUGAUUGUAUGUUACCAUUUGUCAAAGAUGUAAGGUUAUCCAGUUUGUUACACUUAUCUAGUUAUGUAAAUGUUUCCCUAGGAAAGCCCUAUGCUUUCCUGAAUGUUGGUUACCUUUUUGUAAAAGAUGUAAAAGAUGUAUUCUGGUUAGACCUGGUUAUGUACAAGGUUUCCCAGGAAAGUCCCAUACUUUCUUGAAUGUUGGUUAUCAAUGUAAAAGAUGUAUUCCGAAACCUGGUUAUCUUGUGAAAUGUAUAAAGUUAUUCAUUAUUACUAUAGGUAAAUCUCUGUUAUCCUAAUUGCGAGUUCCAUAACCAUACGAUAGACUGAACCUGUGGCAAUAAGUAGUCCACAUCCUUAUGACUUUCGUCACCCUUGAACCAUUUCGGUUCGGCUGUAGCUAGCAGCCAGGUGUGGGGUAGUCAGCCCCGUAUAGAUCUAUACACUCAAGUCACGCUCUCUAAAUCCCAGAGAUUCUGGUUACGGGUGUAGUCCUCCACUCGCGUAUCUCUGUGGAGUGUUCGCCGAGGACGUGUCUCCAAUCAUACAGGAAUAACAAAUUUACUAGUAAUAAUAUGAUAGUCCUCCACUCGCGUAUCUCUGUGGAGUGUUACCGAGGACAAACAGUGUACAAGUUUCAUGUUCAUAUGUUCUAAUGUCAUGCUUUUAACUGAUAAAAUGUGGAAAACCAUUUGUGAAAUAUAUAAAACAUAGCAGUUUAUAAAACCCAUUUCACAAAUAAUAUGUUACGUGAUCUGUCUGUUCAUACGGUUAUCAGUAGUGUAUAUCAGUGUUAAAAGCGUAUGAAAUGUGAAACACACACACGAAAAUAAGUUUUGAGUACAAGAAACCUUGUACUUUGCUUGUUUUCACCCCUAAAAACAGUUAAAAACAGUGAAAAAGAGUAGGGGUAUGAACUCACCGCUUAAUGUAGAGAUCGAGUGUCAACGGAUGCCCUGAACUCCUAUGACCCCUAUUUUACAUGUGAUGACACAUAAAUAAGUUAGAACUAAGGUUUUUCCAUGACUAAACAUGAUGGGAAAACAUCCUUAGGGCUUGGAGUUACUAAGAAUAAGUGUCCUAUGAUCCAAAAUUAAUGAUUUAUGCAUGUUUAGGGCCAAAAAUGGGUAUUAGAGUGAGUAUAUGGUCUUGGAAAUGAGUGUGCGGCUGGGGAGUGCGGCCAGGAGUCUGUGUGAGGCAGCACACAAGAGUGUGCAGCCGUACAGAGGGUGUGUGCGGCCGUACACUCCUCAUUUGAGUCCAUAUUUUGAUUUUGAAGUGUAUGCUCUUCAUACUUGGGAAUUUUGAAUGUAUGCUGCCCCCAUUUGAAGGUGUGUGGCCGUACACCUUCAUGCGAUGAUGAAUAUGAUGAAUAUAAUGAGUUUUAAGCUUGGGAUUCAAGUGCUUACCACUACACUUAGCUUGAACAUGAAGUAGAUCACGAUUAUGAAGGCUUCCAAGUGUUCUUGGUUAAUGAUUUAGAGAGAGAAAGUAGAGAGAGGGAAGAGAACAUCUAAAUGAAUGAAUGAAGAGGUAUCCAUCCAUAAAUUAUAUUGGGUGUGAGGUUGAGGGUGUUUGCGGUUAGGUGUGUGGCCGUACACACAGGUGUGUGGACGCACACACAAGUGUGUGGCCGCACACACCUUAUUUGGUGAGUUUUGGCCCGAUUUAUUGAUACUAAACACUCUCCAACCCUUCCUAAGACUCAUAUCUAAAUUAUACUAAGUCUAAAGCACCCCUAUGGAAUCACAAUAUUUAAUAAAAGACAAUGAACUCAAGUUUUAGUGCUAAAACACAGAUUAAUUACAUGGGUUAGAAGUUUCGGGUAGUCACAUUAUCCCCCUGUUAAAGGGAAUUUCGUCCCGAAAUUCAAAAUUAAGAUACAAGUCAAGAUACAAAUCAUGGAUCUAGAAAGAGAUGCGGAUACUUCUUUUUGAUCGAGUCUUCACGCUCCCAUGUGAACUCCGGUCCCCGCUUGGCAUUCCAGUGGAUCUUCACUAACGGGAUGCGGCUUUGCUUUGUACGUUUGACUUCUCGAUCCAUGAUUUCGAUCGGUUCCUCCACGCAAUUGAGGUUUUCAUUGAUCUCGAUCUCGUCUAAAGGAAUUACUAAGGUUUCAUCGGAUAAGCACUUCUUGAGAUUUGAAACAUGGAAGACGGGAUGAAUGUUACUGAGCUCAUGGGGUAAACAAAGCUUAUAGGCUACCGGACCGACCCUGGCGAGGAUCUCGAAAGGUCCAAUGUACCUCGGAUUAAGUUUCCCACGCUUACCAAAGUGUACAGUGCCUUUCCAGGGUGAGACCUUCAACAGGACAUGGUCUCCAACCUGGAAUUCCAGUGGUUUCCGACGGUUAUCAGCGUAACUCUUCCGGCGAUCACGUGAAGCUUUCAGUCGUUCUCGGAUUUGUAUGAUCUUCUCGGUGGUUUCGCGGAUGAUUUCAGGACCAGUGAGAGCACUGUCCAGGACUCGACUCUUGGCUAACUGUGUAUCCCCCACCUCGGCCCAGCACAGAGGAGAUCUGCACUUGCGACCGUAUAGGGCUUUAAACGGGGCUGCCCUAAUGCUGGUGUGGUAACUGUUGUUAUACGAGAAUUCGAUCAAAGGUAGAUGUGUGUCCCACGACUUUCCAUAGUCAAUGACACAUGUCCUAAGCAUGUCCUAUAAGGUUUGGAUUGUUCUCUCACUUUGUCCAUCAGUUUGAGGAUCAUACGCCGUGCUCAUGUCUAGCUUGGUUCCAAGAGAUUUCUGGAGAGACUGCCAAAAUCGGGAGGUAAAACUGCUAUCUCGAUCAGAGAUAAUGGACGCAGGUACACCGUGCAGUCGAACUACCUCUUGGAUGUAAAUCCGCGCGAGUCUUUCCAUCUUGUAUGAUUCUUUGAUUGGAAUGAAGUGAGCAGACUUUGUUAAACAAUCAACAAUCACCCAAAUGGUAUCAUACCCACUCGGACACUUGGGUAGUUUGGUGAUGAAAUCCAUGGUAAUCAUCUCCCAAUUCCAUUCAGGUAUCUCGGGUUGCUGAAGCAGACCCGAGGGUUUCUGGUGCUCAACUUUUACUUUGGAGCAAGUCAGACACUUGCCCACGAACGUAGCUAUCUCAGCCUUCAUGUUUGGCCACCAUUAUUGUUUCUUGAGAUCUAAGUACAUCUUGUCACAGCCCGGGUGAACAGAGUAUCUGGUUCUGUGCACUUCCUCCAUAACUAUCUCUCUGAAUCCUCCGAACUUGGGAAUCCAGAUCCGAUCCAUGAAACAAUAGACUCCGUCACCUCUGAUCUCAAGUUUCUUUUCCAUUCCUCUCAAGGUUUCAGUUGACAUGCUCUCGGGUUUGAGGGCUUCUAACUGGGCUUCUCGGAUUUGCAUGGAUAAGUUGGAAUGGAUGUUCAUCGUCUGGUUCUUCACUUUGCGGACCAAACUUUCCUUUCGGCUAAGGGCAUCUGCUACCACAUUGGUUUUGCCAGGAUGGUAAUGGAUUUCACACUCAUAAUCGCUGAGUAGUUCUACCCAUCACCGUUGCCUCAUGUUCAAUUCUUUCUGAUCAAAGACGUGAUGCAGGCUCCUAUGGUCUGUGAAGAUCGUACACUUGGUUCCGUAGAGAUAAUGUCUCUAAAUCUUCAGAGCAAGGACUACGGAUCCUAAUUCCAAGUCAUGAGUGGUAUAAUUGGCCUCGUGUGCUUUCAGCUGUCUAGAAGCAUAAGCAAUUACCUUUCCUCUUUGCAUAAGCACACAGCCUAAGCCUUGAUUAGACGCAUCGCAGAAGACAACGAAGUCCUCUGUCCCUUCGGGUAGGAACAAAACAGGAGCACUGCACAAGGCUUUCUUCAAUGUCUGGAACGCGGUUUCUUGCUUAUCACUCCAACAAAAGGGUACACCUUUCUGUGUUAGAGUGGUUACGGGUUUGGCGAUUCUGGAAAAGUUCUGGAUAAAUCUCCGACAAUAGCCGGCAAGACCCAAGAAUUGUCGAAUUUCUGUGGGUGUCUUCGGUGCCGACCAAUUCUCUAUCGCUUUUAUCUUGGAAGGAUCUACAUGAAUACCCUCUUCGCUUACCACGUGACCAAGGAAAGUUACUUUCCAAAUCCAGAACUCACACUUGGAAAAUUUUGCGUACAAAUUCUCGGAUCUAAGGGUUUCCAACACUAGCCUCAAGUGCUGUUUGUGAUCUUCUUCACUUCUGGAAUAGACAAGUGUGUCAUCAAUGAAUACAAUGACGAACUUGUCCAGAUAGGGACGCCACACCCAGUUCAUCAAGUCCAUGAACACUUCCGGUGCGUUAGUAAGACCGAAGGGCAUCACUACGAACUCGUAGUGUCCAUAUCGAGUCCUGAAAGCUGUUUUGGAAACAUCACUCUCAUGAACUCGUAGCUGAUGGUACCCUGAUCGAAGGUCUAUCUUGGAGAAGUAACUGGCUCGCUGGAGUUGAUCGAAGAGGUCAUCUAUUCGCAGAAGAGGAUAUCGGUUUUUGACAGUCAACUUCUUCAGCUCGCGUUAAUCAAUACACAUUCGAAAGGAUCCAUCUUUCUUCUUGACAAACAAAACCGGAGCUCCCCAGGGUGAGGAACUCGGUCUAAUGAAUCUUUUACUGAGCAACUCGUUGAGUUGGCUGGAUAACUCCUGCAUUUCUGUUCGAGCUAAACGAUACGGAGACUUCGCUAUAGGAGUAGCUCCAGGAAUUAGGUCAAUAUGGAACUCGACCUGACGCUCGGGAGGAAUUCCUGGAAGCUCUUCGGAAAACACAUCAGGAAAGUUACAGACUUCGGGGAUGCUCGCGAGGUCUAUAACUUCCUGUUUCUGGUUGAUUACAUGAGCUAAUAAUGCAAUGCACUCCUUUCGCAGGAGCUUUUGAGCUUUGAUGCAGGAGAUGAUACGAAGGUUGGAACUGAGUUUAUCGCCAUAGAUUACUAGAGUUUGACCCGAAGGAAAGUUGAGACGGAUGGCUUUUUCGAAACAAAGAAUAUAUGCAUGAUUGGGACUCAACCAAUCCAUGCCAAUGAUGACAUCAAAGCUCUUUAUGGAUACCGACAUAAGAUCGAUAGGAAACGAAUGGUCAUUCAGGGUAAGGGUACAACCUACGAACACCUCGCUCGCGUUUUCUUUCUCACCAUUCGCCAUCUCGACGGUAAACGUUUCGGUUAAAGGUUGGGGACUACGUUUUAGGUUAUGUUUGAAUGUACGACUAAUAAAGCUCCUCUCAGCACCCGAAUCGAAAAGAAUAUUAGCAUAUGAGUUGUCGAGAAGGAACGUACACGAGACAACAGUGGGAUCGGCGACCGCUUCCUCCCGUCCCAUGGCGAGGACCCUUCUGGUGUUGUCAGGUGUAGACUUCUUAGGGCAGUUCCUUUUAAGGUGCCCAACUUCACCACAGUUGUAGCAGGCUUGACCAACGACUGCUCCCGAAGAUUGAUUGGCCGAUUGGGCCGGAGCUUUGCAGAAUCGGACCGUGUGCCCCUUCUUACCACAAUUGGUACAUGAUAACUCUCGGCAGGGGCCGAGGUUGUGGUGAUACUUGCACUUGUCACAGAGAGGGAGAUUACCAGCACACCGGCUGGUAGGAGUUUGAGCUGUGGAUCCCACAACAGAGGCAGCAGCAACGGGGGUAGUAGCAGCAUGAAUUGCUACUGUUUAUUGUCUUUUGGGGGAUCCUUGGGAAGAUUGACCCUUCUUCUUCUUCCAGGACUUUCUCUUCUCACCACUGCUUUUAGUAGACUUAGGAGCGGUAGUGGUUUCCUCAACAUCAUCACUGUGGUCAAUUAUGGCUUGCGCCAAAGUCUUAGCACUAUCAUAUGUAUCAGGGCGAGCAGCUAAAACAUGACCCUUUGUUGGAUUGGUUAACCCCCAAAUAAACCUCUCGAUCUUUUUGCUUUCAGGAGUGACCAUACCAGGACAGAGAAUGGCAAGAUCAUCGAAUCGGGAAGUGUAUGCAGCAAUGUCGGAACCUUUCAUCUUCACGUUCCANUAUGCAGCAAUGUUGGAACCUUUCAUCUUCAGGUUCCAGAGCUCGUGCUCUAGCUUCUGCAUUUCACCACGGGGACAGUAUUCGGCAAGGAGGAGUUCUUUCAUGGCGUCCCAACCCAUGGCAUUGGCUACGGGUAGGGUCAAGGAUUUGACUCGGCCAUUCCACCAAGUCAAGGCUUUAUCACUGAAGGUAUAGGCUACAAAUUUGUCCUUAUCGAACUCAGCACAGGCACAUAUUUCAAAAAUGGAUUCGAUUUUCUCGAACCAUCGGGACAAGGAAAUGACACCACCAGUGCCAUCGAAGGAUGAAGGCUUCACAUUCAUGAAGUCCUUGUAGGAACCCUCCUUUCGGUGUUCCUGAUUACUUUCUUGAUCUUGAGUACCACCUCUCGAACCACGGGUGUUUAAUUGGGAUAUAGCAGCUGCCACAGUGGCGGUAACAACAGUUUGGAAUAACACGGGAUCAAUUUCAGGAGGAGGUGGUGGCGGAGGGUUGUUGGUCUUUGAGCUGGGUCUCUUUCUGGGAGGCAUCUUGAUCUAAUAUAAUCAAGAAAGACAGGAUGAUAAGUCCUCUGAAUUGGAUCGAGAGAUAUGACAGAUAUUUAUUCCAAAUAAGCAAUAAAGCAGGAAAGAGUUAUCAAAGCAGGUAAGCAAUCGCUAAUGGAUUGAUCAAGGAGCUAUACGUGAACAAGUAUUCUUACGAAGAAUUGGCUCGAGAAAUACUCCUACAGUUUUUCAUGAUUCGAUACUACACUUGCGCGAUGUUUGUGGUAUUAGGGUAAGUUUUAGGCAUGCUGCAUACCAUAGUCUCUCCCAAGCACAUGUUGGCCAUGUCUCGAAUAAAUAUAGUUGGCCAGGCUAUAUUGAUCCUAGACACGACUACAUAACUGCCCAGGUUUAACCGUAGUACACAACACCCAUUUACUUAUGUUUUGUUCUACUUGUAGUUACGGAUCUCGACGGUUCGGUAUACUUGUAUACUUUUGAAAAUACUUAUAGUUUGAAGAUACUUUUAAUUCAGAGCACUUAGGCCCUUUUAGUGUUUAUAGUUUUAUACCAUGUAAGGUUUGGUAUACUUUAUUCACUAUAAACAAGGUCUCUGAUACCAAUCUGUCACACCCCGAAAACCGAAGACGGAAACAUUUUUGGGGUUGACUCCACGUUGAGUAUCGUCCAAUGUACAUAGUAAGUAAAGUAGAACAACCAUUACAAUACAUAUAGAAAAGUUUUACAAUUGUUUCAAAAGUAAAGUUGUACAGUUGUGAUACAUAGUAUAUAUAUAUGAACAAAAUGAAACAGGUCUUCUGAGCACUCCAACUUAUGGCAAAAAGGAUCUUCGGUACCUAUUCUAACGUUGACCUGAGAACACAAGCGGUUUUGAAAAUCAGCAUAACACUGGUNUGAGUUCAUAAGUGGUUUUUGUUUUGUGAAAAUGUUCAUGUUUCCUUUCUGUUUCUGAAAAUGUAACACACGCCAAGAAAAUCUCACAUUUUCUUAAAAAGGUUGGUUGUUGUUUCACAUUAUGUAAAGUAAAGUUGUACACUGAAAACAUGUUUACCAUUUUGAAAAUGUACAUUUAGGUUAUCUAAUUUGUUAUACUGUUCUGGUUAUGUACGAAUGGAUCCCCAGGAAAGUCCCAUACCUUCCUGAUUGUAUGUUACCAUUUGUCAAAGAUAUAAGGUUAUCCAGUUUGUUACACUUAUCUUGUUAUGUAAAUGUUUCCCCAGGAAAGCCCUAUGCUUUCCUGAAUGUUGGUUACCUUUUUGUAAAAGAUGUAAAAGAUGUAUUCUGGUUAGACCUGGUUAUGUACAAGGUUUCCAGGAAAGUGCCAUACUUUCCUGAAUGUUGGUUAUCAAUGUAAAAGAUGUAUUCCGAAACCUGGUUAUCUUGUGAAAUGUAUANUAUAAAGUUGUUCAUUAUUACUAUAAGUAAAUCUCUGUUAUCCUAAUUGCGAGUUCCAUAACCAUACGAUAGACUAAACCUGUGGCAAUAAGUAGUCCACAUCCUUAUGACUUUCGUCACCCUUGAACCAUUUCGGUUCGGC
rnacentral:lncRNA from 1 species